rnacentral:rRNA from 1 species
GUGUCAGCAGCCGCGGUAAUACGUAGGGGGCAAGCGUUAUCCGGAAUCACUGGGCGUAAAGGGAGCGUAGGCGGUUUGACAAGCCAGAGGUGAAAGGCAAUAGCUUAACUAUUGUAAGCCUUUGGAACUGUCGAACUUGAGUGCAGGAGAGGAAAGUGGAAUUCCUAGUGUAGCGGUGAAAUGCGUAGAUAUUAGGAGGAACACCAGUGGCGAAGGCGACUUUCUGGACUGUAACUGACGCUGAGGCUCGAAAGCGUGGGGAGCGAACAGGAUUAGAAACCCCCGUAGUCC